GCCAUGUGGCUUUGAAACAUUGGUUCUCAUAAGAUCUCCGAAGUUAAGCAACGUCGAGCUUGGUCAGUACCUCGAUGGGUAACCGCUUGGAAAAACUAGGUGCUGUCAG